AGAUAGAUAGAUAGAUAUAGAUAGAUAGAUAGAUAGAUAGAUAGAUAGAUAGAUAGAUAUUUGUAUGUUUUCAUUUUUCUUUUGUUCCUUAAGUCUUUUUAAAGGACAAUUUUUUUCCAGAUGACAGAAAAAUGUAUAAACCGCAUCUCUGCGAAAUAUGAAACAUAAACUUUAGAAGAAUUCUUACUGAUUUUCAUUCAUAGGAUUAUGAGUGUGCAUCUGAAUUUUUAAAUUGAAACUACACUACAUUGAGUUUAGAUUCGUCCAACUAUCUCGAGGAGACAACGAAAUCUGAGCCAGUUUUACUUUCAGAAAAGUAAGCAAAGAUUAAGUCAUUUACAUGUCAGCAAAAAAAUUGGCUUAAACGUUUCUGAAGGGAUUCACUUGGGGUAGUUUCCAGAUCUUUAAUUUAGAAUAUGAAUCUAUAGCGUUAAAUUAGAAGAUUAAUUUAAUUUAGAAUAUGAAUAUAUAAGAGUGUAGAUGAGCAUUUCUGGCGAUAGAAGCGGAAACUGGCAGAAACGUUAAAUUAGAGGAUUAAAGUCUUUGUGGUAAUCCGUUACGUUCCUUUCUAAGUUCAAAUUCCGCUGAGAUCUACCUCACUUUUCAUAUUUUUUUCAAGCCAUAUACUGCUGUUCUGUUAUAAUAUCUGCCACGUUUUUGUAUUUCUUUUUUUGGUAGUGGAGUACAAAAUUCAAUACUUUCAUCCCUAAAUUAAACGCAAGUGAUAUUUAAUUUUAACUGAUUGGUAUUCUUACUAGAAUGAACAUCUUUAUAAAUAUUAAACCGAGCUUAACAUAAAUCAUGAUUUAAGAAAAUUACUUCAGUUUUGAAGAUGGCAAAUAUAUUUCCUUUGAUAAACAGCUAUUGGCUAAAAAGCAUAUAGGUUGACUGCACCUUCCUUGCGAAGCAUCUCAAUAAUCAUAAAUGAUACAUAUGAAAAGAUCUACAGAAAGUCCAAUCAAAUUAUGUUCUACCAAGCGUUGUGCAAACAGAAGACAUUGAUCUUUUACAGAUUAAGAGCCUAAUCAAUCACAUACUAACUUCUCAGACUAAUCAAUACCUACCGAAAAUCUCAUCAGUGCAUCUGCUACAGAAUAGAGAUCAUCAUGUAGCCUACUUUGGAUGGAACCUCUAAGAAGCUCUUCUGAACAGAAAAUUUGCUGGUGAUUCUGUGAUAAAUUUGAGUUGUGUUGGAGCGAUGUAGCCAUUUAAGCUUCCGGUAUUCUUUAAAUUCUGCACCAGGGCUACAUUGAGGUAAGUUGUUGUGUGAUCCAGAGUUGUUUCUCGUGGACUAGCCUUAUAAUCAAAAACAUUUCAGUUAUGAUCGGCACACCAUUCUUGUAACAGAUCUCGAACUAUAUUGUUCAAUGUGACGUUUCCUUUUUAAAAAGGUAAGGUAUUGUUUGAAGAAGUUUUUGCAGUUACUUCUAACAAGUCGAAGGACUUAGAGGCUUCCUCGUUGUUUCAUACUGAGUUAAAUUUAGGGGUAAACCAUGUAUUUGUUUAAGAGUCAACAUGACGUAUUCGAGAUCCAUGGAUUACAUCAGUAAAUGAUGAAAUGAUGCUGGUAAAAUGCAAUUAAAAUACUAAUGCGACCUCGAAAGGUAAAAAUAAGAAUUACUCAACAAAAAAUAGUUCUCAUUUAAAAUUAUUUAAUAAAAGGAAGUGGUUUCGAGCUGUGCAUUGCCGAAGGUUACGUGUGUGUGCGCGUGUGGGGGGUGGGGUGAAUGUAUUAUGUUCUCUUGCAGUACUAUAAC